rfam:Gossypium arboreum cultivar AKA8401 contig_5102_7, whole genome shotgun sequence.
AAUCCAUGGAUCGAACAUUUUUUAAUUAACUCCUUAAAUCACUCCCAAGCUUCAUCUAGGGUCUCGUCCUUCAUCUUCCGAAAGGACAUAAUAUCAUUUCUCAACUU